ACCUGGGUGGCUCAGUCAGUUGAGCGUCUGACUUCGGCUCAGGUCAUGAUCUCACAGUUUGUGGGUUUGAGCCCCGCAUCAGGCU
rnacentral:tRNA from 1 species